rnacentral:rRNA from 1 species
UGCUAACAUGCAGUCGAGCGAACAGACGAGGAGCUUGCUCCUCUGACGUUAGCGGCGGACGGGUGAGUAACACGUGGAUAACCUACCUAUAAGACUGGGAUAACUUCGGGAAACCGGAGCUAAUACCGGAUAAUAUAUUGAACCGCAUGGUUCAAUAGUGAAAGACGGUUUUGCUGUCACUUAUAGAUGGAUCCGCGCCGCAUUAGCUAGUUGGUAAGGUAACGGCUUACCAAGGCAACGAUGCGUAGCCGACCUGAGAGGGUGAUCGGCCACACUGGAACUGAGACACGGUCCAGACUCCUACGGGAGGCAGCAGUAGGGAAUCUUCCGCAAUGGGCGAAAGCCUGACGGAGCAACGCCGCGUGAGUGAUGAAGGUCUUCGGAUCGUAAAACUCUGUUAUUAGGGAAGAACAAAUGUGUAAGUAACUAUGCACGUCUUGACGGUACCUAAUCAGAAAGCCACGGCUAACUACGUGCCAGCAGCCGCGGUAAUACGUAGGUGGCAAGCGUUAUCCGGAAUUAUUGGGCGUAAAGCGCGCGUAGGCGGUUUUUUAAGUCUGAUGUGAAAGCCCACGGCUCAACCGUGGAGGGUCAUUGGAAACUGGAAAACUUGAGUGCAGAAGAGGAAAGUGGAAUUCCAUGUGUAGCGGUGAAAUGCGCAGAGAUAUGGAGGAACACCAGUGGCGAAGGCGACUUUCUGGUCUGUAACUGACGCUGAUGUGCGAAAGCGUGGGGAUCAAACAGGAUUAGAUACCCUGGUAGUCCACGCCGUAAACGAUGAGUGCUAAGUGUUAGGGGGUUUCCGCCCCUUAGUGCUGCAGCUAACGCAUUAAGCACUCCGCCUGGGGAGUACGACCGCAAGGUUGAAACUCAAAGGAAUUGACGGGGACCCGCACAAGCGGUGGAGCAUGUGGUUUAAUUCGAAGCAACGCGAAGAACCUUACCAAAUCUUGACAUCCUCUGACCCCUCUAGAGAUAGAGUUUUCCCCUUCGGGGGACAGAGUGACAGGUGGUGCAUGGUUGUCGUCAGCUCGUGUCGUGAGAUGUUGGGGUUAAGUCCCGCAACGAGCGCAACCCUUAAGCUUAGUUGCCAUCAUUAAGUUGGGCACUCUAAGUUGACUGCCGGUGACAAACCGGAGGAAAGGUGGGGGAUGACGUCAAAUCAUCAUGCCCCUUAUGAUUUGGGCUACACACGUGCUACAAU